AGAGAGAGACAUGCGCGCAUAUCAAUAAGCGGAGGAAAAGAAACUAACAAGGAUUCCCUUAGUAACGGCGAGUGAAGCGGGAAGAGCUCAAAUUUGAAAUCUUCAAGGUUCUACCUUGACGAAUUGUAGUUUAUAGAAGUGUUUUCUGUUAGUGGAGUGGCAAAAGUUCUUUGGAAUAGGACAUCAUAGAGGGUGAGAAUCCCGUAUUUGGUCAUUCCUCCUAGCGUUGUGAUACACUUUCAACGAGUCGGAUUGUUUGGGAAUGCAGUCCAAAAUGGGUGGUAAAUUUCAUCUAAAGCUAAAUAUUGGCGAGAGACCGAUAGCGAACAAGUACCGUGAGGGAAAGAUGAAAAGAACUUUGAAAAGAGAGUUAAACAGUACGUGAAAUUGUCAAAAGGGAAGCGUUUGACACCAGUGUUGUUUUUCCGAAAAUCAAUUACGAAUGUUUUAUUUUUGAGGAGUUAUGACCUCAUCGGCUUGCUCCUUUCUUUAUGAAACUUUCUUAAUGCACUUUUCGGUUAACAAGUCAACAUCAAUUUCUUUUGUUGUAAAAGGGUAUGAGGAAGGUGGCUUUCUUUUCGGAGAAAGUGUUUAUAGCCUUGUGCCUCUGCAAUCGGAAAGAUUGAGGUCUGCAGCGUAGAUCCUUCGGGGUUAGAUACGUUUGUGCUAAGUUAUAGCUUUUCAUAGACAACUUGUUGACUAUGUUUAGUCUUGUAGCUUACUCGCUGACGCUAUUUUACCUACGCUUAGGAUGUUGAUAGUCACAGCGUGUAC
rnacentral:rRNA from 1 species